CAGUAGCCGCGGUAAAACGGAGGGUGCAAGCGUUACUCGGAAUCACUGGGCGUAAAGGACGCGUAGGCGGAUUAUCAAGUCUCUUGUGAAAUCUAACGGCUUAACCGUUAAACUGCUUGGGAAACUGAUAACCUAGAGUAAGGGAGAGGCAGAUGGAAUUCUUGGUGUAGGGGUAAAAUCCGUUGAUAUCAAGAAGAAUACCUAUUGCGAAGGCGAUCUGCUGGAACUUAACUGACGCUAAUGCGUGAAAGCGUGGGGAGCAAACAGGAUUAGAUACCCCCGUAGUCCCUGUCUCUUAUAC
rnacentral:rRNA from 1 species